GGGUAUUGGGAGGCAUUGCCUGCCAGUGACAACUGUUUAACGGCCGCGGUAUCCUGACCGUGCAAAGGUAGCAUAAUCAUUUGUUCUCUAAAUAAGGACUUGUAUGAAUGGCCGCACGAGGGUUUUACUGUCUCUUACUUCCAAUCAGUGAAAUUGACCUUCCCGUGAAGAGGCGGGAAUGCACAAAUAAGACGAGAAGACCCUAUGGAGCUUUAACUAACCAACCCAAAGAGAAUAGAUUUAACCAUUAAGGAAUAACAACAAUCUCCAUGAGUUGGUAGUUUCGGUUGGGGUGACCUCGGAGAAUAAAAAAUCCUCCGAGCGAUUUUAAAGACUAGACCCACAAGUCAAAUCACUCUAUCGCUCAUUGAUCCAAAAACUUGAUCAACGGAACAAGUUACCCUAGGGAUAACAGCGCAAUCCUAUUCAAGAGUCCAUAUCGACAAUAGGGUUUACGACCUCGAUGUUGGAUCAGGACAUCCUGAUGGUGCAACCGCUAUCAAAGGUUCGUUUGUUCAACGAUUAAAGUCCUACGUGAUCUGAGUUCAGACCGGA
rnacentral:rRNA from 1 species